GGUGGGGUGUAAAACCAGAAUCGAAACCGGUUGCAAUCGGUUCGGUCCGGUUUUGGUCCGAUUUGUUGACUUUUUUGGUCAACCGAUUGUUUUUUCACCGAUUCGAUUCGGUAUUCCGGUUUUUCGGUCCCGAUGCCCACCCCUAGUCACACCUAGAUCCCAUUGGCAAUCUGGCUUCCACGCACUGCCAUCCCUUGGCUGCAGUCCCUCACUAUGAAUACCAACAUCAAACAACACCACCCAAAAAGUGGUUGAUAAAAUUAACAGAAAAAUGCAAAAAAAAAAAAAAAAAAACUGAUUUACUUGGUUGCCC
rnacentral:lncRNA from 1 species